UACGUAGGGUGCGAGCGUUAAUCGGAAUUACUGGGCGUAAAGAGCUCGUAGGCGGUUUGUUGCGUCGGCUGUGAAAUCCCGAGGCUCAACCUCGGGUCUGCAGUCGAUACGAGCAAACUAGAGUGUUGCAGGGGAGACUGGAAUUCCUGGUGUAGCGGUGAAAUGCGCAGAUAUCAGGAGGAACACCGGUGGCGAAGGCGGGUCUCUGGGCAACAACUGACGCUGAGGAGCGAAAGCGUGGGGAGCGAACAGG
rnacentral:rRNA from 1 species